CAUCACGAGGAAACAUCUACAGAUAGUUGUCUCUACAUGUUGUAGAAGAUCAUCACGGGGAAACACCUACAGAUAGUUGUCUCUACAUGUUGUAGAAGAUCAUCACGGGGAAACAUCUACAGAUAGUUGUCUCUACAUGUUGUAGAAGGUCAUCACGGGGAAACAUCUACAGAUAGUUGUCUCUACAUCUUGUAGAAGGUCAUCACGGGGAAACAUCUACAGAUAGUUGUCCCUACAUGUUGUAGGUCAUCACGGGGAAACAUCUACAGAUAGUUGUCUCUACAUGUUGUAGACGAUCAUCACGGGGAAACAUCUACAGAUAGUUGUCUCUACAUGUUGUAGAAGGUCAUCACGGGGAAACAUCUACAGAUAGUUGUCUCUACAUGUUGUAGAAGGUCAUCACGGGGAAACAUCUACAGAUAGUUGUCUCUACAUGUUGUAGAAGGUCAUCACGGGGAAACAUCUACAGAUAGUUGUCUCUACAUGUUGUAGAAGGUCAUCA